UCACGUCGGCAUCAACCAUCAACCAACCAGGUGCGAGGUCCGCACGGCUCCGCGUGGAAAAGUUGCGUCAUUUUAACAACCACGCCCCUCCACCGCGCCUCCUCACGGCCCAGAAUUUCCGCAAUGCGCACCUCGGAAAAUUUCCAACCACGCGGAAAAACAUGGCGGACCAGCAAGAACUACUAUGGCAGAGAGCAUUCCCAGGUCAGGAAUCAGACUCGUGAUGGGACACGGACCAUACGCCAAACUGGUCGUACUCUUCCUCUUUACCUCACUGGGUUUCAUGCUCCACACUGGGAUUCAGAAAUGACUUCCAGAAUAUUCUACUGGUCAUCAUGUAACAGAAACGAUGUCUUGACGUGGGCCGCUGCUGUAAAAAGUGAGGCGCGAACCAGAAAAGCUCCUGCCGAUCACAAUUCAACAACGGAUUAUGAAAGAACGGAUAACGCUCGAAACACGCAGAUUCUUCCUGAUGUGAGAGUCUCUGCAGAGGUUUCUCCCCCACUGCCUGAUACUGUGCAAGAUGAUGCUGUGGCGUGGAGUUUGCUGCCCCCUGUCACCCCACGUCUCUGCAACUCCGAAGCUCUCUCCAACCUGUCGUCCAGUUUGGGUCACCUCACCUCUUCGCAACAGGAGGAGCUUUCUCAUCUAAUUCACUCUUUUCCGGAACUAUUUUCAGACGUGUCCAGUCAGACCCACCUAAUAACUCAUGACAUCAGCCUUACUGAUUCCGUCCCCGUUCGUAUGCACCCUUACCGGGCUAGUCCGAUGAAGAGGGAACUAAUGAGAAAGGAAGUAACUUAUCUAUUAGAACAUGGCCUAGCAAAGCCCAGCACCAGUUCCUUGAGCUCACCAUGUUUACUGGAAAAUAAACCUGAUGGCUCAUAUAGGUUUGUUACUGACUACCGCAAGUUAAAUACAAAAACCGUCCCAGAUUCGUUUCCUUUGCCUCGUGUAGAGGAUUGUGUGGAUAGUGUGGGUUCAGCUACAUUUGUUACUAAACUAGAUCUUCUAAAGGCCUAUUGGCAGGUGCCGCUAACUCCGUUUGCAUCUAAAGUGUCUGCUUUCGUCACUCCAGAUAACCUGCUCCAGUACACCGUGUUGCCGUUCGGUUUGAGGAACGCCCCCGCUACUUUUCAGCGUUUUCAGCAAGAACUACUUCUUCUUCCGCCAACCAUGCAGGAAGAAUCACGCCCCUCCCAGAGACACCCUCUGUCGUGGCUGGAUGAUGAUGCAGAGAUGGUGGCUGCUUGUAAAUCUGUGGAAGACUCCCUCAUCUCAAAGCAACCAACAAUAGGAGCUGCAGCGACCAGGACGUCGCCAAAGGCUCCUGCUCUACAGCGGCUGUUGGUUUUCCUGCUCCUGCUGAUCCCUCUGCUUCUGAAUCCCCUGCUGGUCCGAUAGCUGCUUCUUCUGGCUCCACUACUCCUCCUGGUCCCUCUGCUGGCUUUUCUGCUGCUGUCCUGGACAAGGUUUUAAGGAACAGGACGGACCUUGCGAUGCCAGUCUCUCGGCCUGCUGCUACUCAGCCACAGCUUCAGCCCCAGGUACACAAGUGACAGGACCAUGAAUCCCAUUCUGACCACCUUUGGGCAGAGCCAACAUUUUCAUAAAGGGUAUAUUCAUCGCUAUUAAAUGUUGCUCUAAUGUAUUUAAACAUGCCAGUUGAGGUGGGAUGGGAUCAACAGUCAGCUUGUUGAUUGAACUUUCUGGGGGUAUCUGACAUUUACCCAUUUUAUAAUGACACGUGUAACAGAUGUACAGUUUAUUUCUACAUAAAUUAAAUUUGCAAGGUAAUCUACAGGCAUCAUCGCAAAUGUGCAGAUGAUUGUCACUUAUACAUUUAUCUGCUAUAAGUGACAUUUCUUUGGUUUUUCUAUAGUACUCUUGAUUACAAUUUAAGACCUGAUGUCUAAACAACAAACGUGAGCAGACACAACACACAAAAUCAGGUCCAUCUUUCACUUUCUCUAAAAAUUGAUCUACAACAAAAUCAAAGUUUUGUGCAUUUACUUUAAUCAGCUUUCUUUUAUGCUGGAUACUUUCUAUUAAACAUGUUUUAUGCUCAAUAUUAAGGUAUUUCUUUCCACUCAACUCUUUCAUUUUGUUUCGAUGAGCCAAAUUAUGACGAUACUUAUACACACUCACCUGUUUAAGCUUCUCUUGAUGAGCUAAGUUAUGACGAUACUUAUACACACUCACCUGUUUAAGCUUCUCUCGAUGAGCCAAGUUAUGACGAUAGUUGAAAAUGGCCCUAUGUUUGACCCUAUGUUUAACUUUCUCUUUGUAAGCCAAAUUAUGCUGGUAUUUGAAAAUGGCCCUAUGUUUGGCCCUAUGUUUAACUUUCUCUUUGUAAGCCAAAUUAUGAUGGUAUUUGAAAAUGGCCCUAUGUUUGACCCUAUGUUUAACUUUCUCUUUGUAAGCCAAAUUAUGAUGGUAGUUGAAAAUGGCCCUAUGUUUGGCUCUCCGUUUAACUUUCUCUUUAUGUGCAAGAAGACAUUUGUAUUUAAAUUUGGUCACGCUGAUCUUUUUCAUUCUGUAAGCAGCAUUUUGCUUGUAUGCAUUUUUUUUCUGACUUUUUAUUUUGUCUUUAACUGCACUUAUCGUUUUAUAAUUAGAGGCUUCUGCAGAAGCCUUAUUUCGCUUUAAAUAUCUAGAAAAACUCUUCCUCAUUUUCAUCUUUUCCAUGUUUGGGUCAGCAUUUAACUGCAUCACAGUUGACCUUCUGCAUUUGUUUACGUUGUCUGACAAAGAAUCAACUUUACAAAACCCAAA